rnacentral:rRNA from 1 species
UGCCAGACUCCUACGGGAGGCAGCAGUGGGGAAUAUUGCACAAUGGGGGAAACCCUGAUGCAGCGACGCCGCGUGAGUGAAGAAGUAUUUCGGUAUGUAAAGCUCUAUCAGCAGGGAAGAAAAUGACGGUACCUGAUUAAGAAGCCCCGGCUAACUACGUGCCAGCAGCCGCGGUAAUACGUAGGGGGCAAGCGUUAUCCGGAUUUACUGGGUGUAAAGGGAGCGUAGACGGCUGUGCAAGCCUGAAGUGAAAGGCGGGGGCCCAACCCCUGGACUGCUUUGGGAACUGUACGGCUGGAGUGCAGGAGAGGUAAGUGGAAUUCCUAGUGUAGCGGUGAAAUGCGUAGAUAUUAGGAGGAACACCAGUGGCGAAGGCGGCUUACUGGACUGUAACUGACGUUGAGGCUCGAAAGCGUGGGGAGCAAACAGGAUUAGAUACCCCUGUA